CACCGCCCCUGGGUGGGAUGUGCUGAGGUUUAGUUUAGUUCAUUGUCACAUGUACCGAGGUACAGUGAAAAGCUUUAGUAGCGUGCUAAGCAGUCAGCGGAAAGACAAUACAUGAUUACUAUUGAGCCGUUCAGUGUACAGUCACA